rnacentral:misc_RNA from 1 species
GAUGAAGAACGUAGCGAAAUGCGAUACGUAAUGUGAAUUGCAGAAUUCAGUGAAUCAUCGAGUCUUUGAACGCACAUUGCGCCCCCUGGUAUUCCGGGGGGCAUGCCUGUCCGAGCGUCAUUGCUGCCCUCAAGCACGGCUUGUGUGUUGGGCCUCCGUCCUCCUCCCGGGGGACGGGCCCGAAAGGCAGCGGCGGCACCGCGUCCGGUCCUCGAGCGUAUGGGGCUUCGUCACCCGCUCUUGUAGGCCCGGCCGUCGCUUGCCGACACAUCAAUCUUUUUUCCAGGUUGACCUCGGAUCAGGUAGGGAUACCCGCUGAACUUAAGCAUAUCAAUAAGCGGAGGA